UCUCAGCUUUUUUCCUUGGAUGCUGCUCAGUUUAGGAAGGCUGUUUGGUGUAGUGGUUAAAUCUACUGAAGCCCUGGGUUUGAAUCCCGGCCAUGCCACUUACUGGCUGGACAACUCACUUAAUCUCUCUGUGUCUGUUUCUUGUAAAAUGGAUACAGUAACAAUACUGACCUUAGAGGGUUCUUGCCACGAUGACAAAAUGCAUGUAAGAUGUUCAGGUGGUACUUGGCAUAAAGUAAGCUAUUAUUUUUUUGGUUUCAUUCAGCUUCCUGAUAUCGGGUUGGUGACUAUACCCCUGGGGAGACCUGUCUCCUUUAAAAGUAACUUGGAGUUUGGGCAUUCUGGAAAACGGGAGCUGUCGUUGUUGGUGGGAGUACUGCAGGCUGGCCCUGCGGAGCAGACCUGAGACACAGUGUCCUUCCAAAUUUGGUGGCCUUUCCUUGGUGGGGAGGAGAAAAGCAGCUGGCCUCCAGACUCGGCACCUUGCUGUGCCACCACCGCUGUGUGCCCUCAGUGGCAACGGCGGUGGUGGCGGCUGGCACUGGGCUAAGUGACCACCUCCUGAACAUCACUCCCUUUCCUCCUCUCGACAACGUUAUGACGUGUGGACAUCAGCUGGCAACUGAGGAUGCAGAGAGCUUAACUACCUGAUGCAAGGGCGUGCGUCUCAUCGGUGGCAGAGCUGGCACUGGACACGUGGGCCGCUGCUCUGAAGCACAAGGCCUGGCAAGUUGCCAUUGACAGUCCUCCUUGUUGUCACACCACGAGAGGCUGGUCUCCCACCCCCAAAUCCUCAGAAUUACCCAGGCACUCAAACUAUCUCCAUGCCUGGGCCCACCCCAGACCCACUAAAGCAGCCUUUCUGGGACGUGGGCACCA